CCUUUCUGAUCCAGAAACUGCAUUGGGAAACAAUUUGCUAUGAAUGAGCUGAAGGUGGUUGUGGCCCUGACCCUGCUCCGCUUUGAGCUGCUGCCAGAUCGCACCAGGGUCCCAGUCCCCAUACCACGACUUGUGUUGAAAUCCAAGAAUGGGAUCUACAUGCAUCUCAAGAAGAUUCACUAAUUCUGUUCUGGACCUCAGAAGUCUGAAAUGAGUGUCACUGAAAGGAAGCCAGUUGUUGGUGAGACCAACCUUUUGGAGAGUUCUCUGGAAAGUCAUCUUCUUCCAUUUUUCAAUAUAAAUCAUUAUUCCUUGGCACAGAACUGUUCUCUGAACCCCUCUCUUCUAAUUUCUUUCCAUUAUGAAAAGACUCUUGUGACAUCAUCAAGCCCACUAAAAAACCAAGGUAAUUCUCCCAGUAUAAUACGUCUUUCACAAUGCAACAUACUAAGUUCCUUGGAAUCAUGAGGAAACCUUCAUGAGUUCCAAACUUAGGGCUUGAACAUCAUUGUGAAGCCAUUGUGAAGCCUGGCAUAGUCUUUACAUCACUGUCACCUGGUUGCUUUGUCUACAUCUCUCCUGUAUAUCCUACACCUGACUGUCCUUCACACAAGUUUCUUCACCUUUCCUCUUUUGAACAAUAAAGUUCCCAGAGACACACACA